UACGUAGGGGGCUAGCGUUGUCCGGAAUCAUUGGGCGUAAAGAGCGCGCAGGCGGUCGUCCAAGUCGCGUGUGAAAGCCCCCGGCUCAACUGGGGAGGGUCACGCGAUACUGAUCGACUCGAAGGCAGGAGAGGGUAGUGGAAUUCCCGGUGUAGUGGUGAAAUGCGUAGAUAUCGGGAGGAACACCCAGGGGGAAACCAGUCGACUGGGCAUCUACUGACGCUGAGGUGCGAGAGCGUGGGGAGCGAACCGG
rnacentral:rRNA from 1 species